rnacentral:tRNA from 1 species
AGAGCAUUAAGUUAAUGAGACUUUAAUAUUUCAAAUAUUAGUGUGGGAAAUUUUACCCAUGCUCUG